CACAGAGGUCUCAAGCGUUGUUCGGAUUCAUUGGGCGUAAAGGGUGCGUAGGUGGUGAUGCAAGUCUGGUGUGAAAUCUCGGAGCUCAACUCCGAAAUUGCACCGGAUACUGCGUGACUCGAGGACUGUAGAGGAGAUCGGAAUUCACGGUGUAGCAGUGAAAUGCGUAGAUAUCGUGAGGAAGACCAGUUGCGAAGGCGGAUCUCUGGGCAGUUCCUGACACUGAGGCACGAAGGCCAGGGGAGCAAACGGG
rnacentral:rRNA from 1 species